rnacentral:rRNA from 1 species
AGUGAACGCUGGCGGUAUGCCUUACACAUGCAAGUCGAACGGCAGCAGAUUAAGAGCUUGCUUGUACGAGUGGCGAGUAGUGGAUGGGUGCGUAAUAAGUCGUAAUCGAUAGUUUCGUGGGGGAUGACGUAGUGAAACUUACGCUAAUACGGCAUACGACCUGCGUGUCAAAACAUCGCAUUUUCGGACCUUGCGAUGUCAGAUUAGCUAGUGUGGGGGGUAAAAGCUCACCAAGGCGACGAUCUGCAGCUGGUCUGAGAGGAUGACCAGCCACACUGGAACUGAGACACGGCCCAGACUCCUACGGGAGGCAGCAGUGGGGAAUAUUGGACAAUGGGCGCAAGCCUGAUCCAGCCAUACCGCGUGCGUGAAGAAGGCCUUCGGGUUGUAAAGCGCUUUUGUCAGGAAAGAAAACCAGCAGGUUAAUACCCCGCUGUUCUGACGGUACCCAAAGAAUAAGCACCGGCUAACUUCGUG